rnacentral:rRNA from 1 species
GACGAACGCUGGCGGCGUGCCUAAUACAUGCAAGUUGAGCGCUGAAGGUUGGUACUUGUACCAACUGGAUGAGCAGCGAACGGGUGAGUAACGCGUGGGGAAUCUGCCUUUGAGCGGGGGACAACAUUUGGAAACGAAUGCUAAUACCGCAUAAAAACUUUAAACACAAGUUUUAAGUUUGAAAGAUGCAAUUGCAUCACUCAAAGAUGAUCCCGCGUUGUAUUAGCUAGUUGGUGAGGUAAAGGCUCACCAAGGCGAUGAUACAUAGCCGACCUGAGAGGGUGAUCGGCCACAUUGGGACUGAGACACGGCCCUAACUCCUACGGGAGGCAGCAGUAGGGAAUCUUCGGCAAUGGACGAAAGUCUGGCCGAGCAACGCCGCGUGAGUGAAGAAGGUUUUCGGAUCGUAAAACUCUGUUGGUAGAGAAGAACGUUGGUGAGAGUGGAAAGCUCAUCAAGUGACGGUAACUACCCAGAAAGGGACGGCUAACUACGUG